rnacentral:rRNA from 1 species
GUCUUUUUGAUUUUUAUUUAAAGUCUAACCUGCUCCAUGAAAAUUAAAUAGCCGCAGUAUUUUGACUGUGCAAAGGUAGCAUAAUCAAUAGUUUCUUAAUUAGAAACUGGAAUGAAAGGUUGAAUAAAAAAUUAACUGUCUCAAUUUAAAUUUAUUAGAAUUUUAUUUUUAAGUAAAAAAGCUUAAAUUUUUUUAAAAGACGAGAAGACCCUUUAGAGUUUUAUUUUAUAUUUAAAUUAUUUAAAUUAGAAUUUAAUUUUAAUUUAAAUUAAAAAUUUGAUUGGGGUGAUUUAAAAAUUUAAUUAACUUUUUAUAAAUUUUAACAAUAAUAUUUGAGUAUAUGAUCCAUAUAAAUGAUUAAAAGAUUAAAUUACCUAAGGGAUAACAGCGUAAUUUUUUUUAAGAGUUCUUAUCGAAAAAGAAGAUUGCGACCUCGAUGUUGGAUUAAAAUUUGAAUUUGGUGUAGAAGCUAAAUUUCUGGGUCUGUUCGACCUUUAAAAUUUUACA